ensembl:lncRNA
CUACUUUCUCCUGCCAAAAGCAGGUGCUUGCAAUAAAUUCAGUACAUACAGAGUACCAGUAUGGCACAACCUUUCAGGAGAACAUAUCAAGGGACAAAAGCACAAUAUCAGUCCACUGCAAAAUGCAGACAGCCCCAGGUACCUUACCUCUGGAGUACUCAAGCAUGGCUCAACAGUCCAACUCUGGUGAGCUCUCAAAAUUCGCUAAACAUCCGUCAGAGAUGCACGCUGCCCAGAAAGCAAGCAGAAAUGUAUAUGGCAGUGCUUCUGAUCUGAACCAAGUCUCUCCCAGCUUGGAGAACUCAGCCUUACAGAUAGUAGAAGCAGAGAAAUCUUUCCUGUCGACUAAGCGGAAACCAGAUGAAGAUGCUGUUCUAGUUCUUGAGAGGAGAACCCAACUUGGGAGCUUUGACAAAUAUAAGAGAGCAGAACGUCCAAAUUUAGCUGAUGAAUACAGUGAUAGCAGACUGGCAGAGGCCAUUUUGCCCAAGUCUUCCAAAAUGACAGAGGAACCAGACAAAACAUCAGUGGACACUUUGGCCAACCAUACUGACCUCAAUAGCAACAAUGUCCGAUUUCUGAAAGGAAUCCUUAAGAAAAAGUUCAGGUGUAUAGGGGAUGGAGAUGCCAAAUUCAGGUACACCCCAGGCAAUUUUUCAUUCAGCAAACAAGUAGCCAUAGCUAUUAGGGACAGUUUGGAGCUCAUUCGGUCUAAACGCAGGGACCAAGAGAGCAACAAGUGCAUUCAGAAGAAACUUCGCUGGUUUGAUGAGGUGAAUGGCAAUGGAGGAGAAAAUAAGAAAAUAGUGACAAAAGAACUAAGCAAGCAGGCAGAAGGUGAAAGCAGACUAACUCAACCACCUCAACAGCCUUUACUGGACCAGCAGCAUGGACCAUGGUGUAUGAAUAUACCCUCAGGCAUACUAAAAAACAACAAGACCUCCUCUGGCCCAGCUGACCCCAACUCAACCAGACAAGCCUGGUCAGAUGUUGGCCCCCAGAAAGGAAAGCAGCAGGAACCCACAGGGGAAUCCAGAAUGAAAAAAGCAGCUUCCUGCACUACCGGACAGGCACACUCUGGCAGAAUUGGCUCAGGCACCACUUCAUUCCAGGCCAGGCGGGGUACCAUGAUUAGGCCACAAUGUUCCAGUCAGGUGCAACAUAUAGUCAGAACCCAAGGGAAGGUCCUGGUGCCUCGGCCUCCUCCACGAUCUGAGGUAACUGGGGGGAACUCAGGUCAGGCCAUGAUGUACAUCACCAAAACAGGCAACAACGAUGAGUGUUCCCAAGAUAAAGCACGUCUGGCAGUGGAGCAGGUUCUUUAUAAAGACUAUCCAGAAGGUCAGCCUGUUCCUCAGCGCCACAUUCUCAAAACAGAUGAAGGCACUAUAUUGGCCCCAGUUCCACCCUCCUAUGCCUGCAAGUACGAGACUGUGUCUAAAGGCAUCUACACCCGCUGCCAAUCAGACAGCCAGAUUGGCAGGGGCAGUAACGGCUUUCAGAAGGGUAUCUUGGAUCGUACACCAACCGAUGAAGAGAUCUCACUGCUGUGGCAUGGAGUGCGUAGUGCCUUAGCCAGCAAAGAUGGUAAUACCUGCAUCAUGUUAACAACUCAUUUCAUGAUCCAUUUUAUAAUAAGACAAGAUUCUUUACUAUCAUUGCACAUGCAACAAAAUUGUGUUUAAUUCCUAAAUAUUUAGUAAAUCUAAAACUGUAUAGCUGAAUUGUGGGAGCACUGAAUCAGGAAUCAAACAGUAGUUUUGCACAUGUUAACUUGCUAAUAUUAAAAAAUGGGCAUUUUAUCCUUUUUAUAGAUUUACCACAUUCCAGCAAUAUAAUACAAUACUCACAGGCUACCAGACUGCUGGAUGUCCAUGAGUUUUCAUUGCACCUUGUCAUAUAGUCAGACAGGAGUCUGUUGAAAGAACUGAGCUCUCUUUGUGUGUUGGCAAGUUCAGCAGCUUUGCUCGAGAUUCUUUAGGGGUAUUUUUCUAGAGUUUUUGCAAAGGGCUCUUUUUUGUAGAGUUGUAUCAGUAGUGUCUGUUUGCUUUGGCUCUUUGUAAAACACUGCACCACUUAUGGGAUUACUUCUCCACUGAAAUGAAUCCACAUGAUGAUGGAACUGUUAUUUCUUUUGGGUCUUUUAUUUUGUUGUAUAAUAAUAUAAUAAGUUAUGCAUGAAAACUUAUAGUGAGACUAGGGUUUUUUUUUAUGUCUUUUCCCUUGAGCUAUUUCCAAUCUCUUCUCGCUCCCCUUUAUCACUGUCUUUCUUAAAAAUCCAAUUAGGUGACUCUAGAAACUUGCAGACUCACAAUGGACCGUUGUCUGCUUUGCCUCAAACUCAUGCCAAUUUGUCCCAUGUUGCCAUCAAUGGUGAUAGCUUGUUCAGUGGUGUCGAAGCAGUUGCAAGAAUGGGCGGCUUUUUCCUGUCAUCUUCCAAUGUGAGGAGUCCAGCAAGAAGACCUACUAUGGAGAAUAAUAUGGUGAAAAACAGAACUGCAGCAUUAGGUUACAAGAAACCCCCUGUUCUUCAUCAGGGUACAUUACCAAUAACUGCAAGUAAAACUGACCAGAUGGUGCCUGAUCAAGGUUCUAAGGUGAUGGGUGGUGAUGAGCAGGUUGCUGUAGACUUGGCUCAGUUCCAAAGAGCUGCUGAGUUCCUGCAGUCACAGCGAGGCCUCAGUGCUCUCUCCCUGGAGGAACAGAAACUCCUGCAAUCACUUGAUAGACUCAACCACCGCCUGCAGUAUGUGCAAGAUGUGACGGCAGGAAACACAGCACUGAGGGGCAUUGUUGCCUUGGACUCCGCAUAUAACCAGUCUCCCCAGCCUGGCAAGCGUUCAUGUGCCACUCUGCGCAAGUACCAUGACAGCUCAGCUCACAGCCACACCCGCCCACACACACGCUACUGACUUCAGCUCCCAGAGUGCCCUUCUAUCCCAGCCUGUCCCUUUAAUCCUUAAUGACAAGCACUUUAUCACUCUUACCCUGUUGAUGUUGCCUACUUUUUUUUUAUUAUUAUUCUUAUUAAUUUUUGUUAUAUUGUUAUAUUUUUCUGUGUACAGCUUAUUUUGUGUACAGCACAUUGAGAACUGCUUUUAAAGGUGCUUUAUAAAAUAAAGUUUAUUAUUAUUAUUAUCAUUAUUAUUAUUAUUAUUAUUAUUAUUAUUAUGACCCUCACAUGAAACCAUCAGGUAGUCAGUAUUGCACCACAGACUACAACACUUGCUCUUUUUUUCUUUUUGUGAAUUAUAAAGUCAGUCAUUUU